UGGACUAUGGUGUAAUGGUAGCACUACAGGUUUUGGUUCUGUCAGACUGGGUUCGAGUCCCGGUAGUCCAA
rnacentral:tRNA from 1 species